UACGUAGGGUGCAAGCGUUGUCCGGAAUUAUUGGGCGUAAAGAGCUUGUAGGCGGUUUGUCGCGUCUGCUGUGAAAUUUCGGGGCUCAACCCCGAACUUGCAGUGGGUACGGGCAGGCUAGAGUGUGGUAGGGGAGACUGGAAUUCCUGGUGUAGCGGUGAAAUGCGCAGAUUUCAGGAGGAACACCGAUGGCGAAGGCAGGUCUCUGGGCCACUACUGACGCUGAGAAGCGAAAGCAUGGGGAGCGAACAGG
rnacentral:rRNA from 1 species